ACUCCUACGGGAGGCAGCAGUAGGGAAUUUUCCGCAAUGGACGAAAGUCUGACGGAGCAAUGCCGCGUGAGUGAUGAAGGUUUUCGAAUCGUAAAGCUCUGUUGUAAGGGAAGAAUAGCAGUAGUAGGAAAUGACUACUGUGUGACGGUACCUUACCAGAAAGCCACGGCUAACUACGUGCCAGCAGCCGCGGUAAUACGUAGGUGGCAAGCGUUAUCCGGAAUUACUGGGCGUAAAGCGUGCGUAGUCGGUAUUGAGAGUCACGGGUGAAAUCCCAGGGCUUAACCCUGGAACUGCCUGUGAGACCUCAGUACUAGAGUGUGAGAGGGGAUAGUGGAAUACCCAGUGUAGCGGUGAAAUGCGUAGAGAUUGGGUGGAACACCGGUGGCGAAGGCGGCUAUCUGGCUCACAACUGACGAUCAGGCACGAAAGCGUGGGGAGCAAACAGGAUUAGAUACCCUGGUAGGCUCUGCU
rnacentral:rRNA from 1 species